CCUACGGGAGGCAGCAGUGAGGAAUAUUGGUCAAUGGCCGUAAGGCUGAACCAGCCAAGUCGCGUGAAGGAAGAAGGAUCUAUGGUUUGUAAACUUCUUUUAUCGGGGAAUAAUGGUAUCCACGUGUGGAUAUUUGCAUGUACCCUAUGAAUAAGCAUCGGCUAACUCCGUGCCAGCAGCCGCGGUAAUUCGGAGGAUGGGAGCGUUAUCCGGAUUUAUUGGGGUUAAAGGGUUCGUAGGUGGAUUGUUAAGUCAGUUGGGAAAGUUUGCGGCUUAACCGUAAAAUUGCAGUUGAAACUGGCAGUCUUGAGUACGGUAGAGGUGGGCGGAAUGCGUGGUGUAGCGGUGAAAUGCUUAGAUAUCACGAAGAACUCCGAUUGCGAAGGCAGCACACUGGACUGCAACUGACACUGAGGCUCGAAAGUGUGGGUAUCGAACAGGAUUAGAUACCCCGGUAGUC
rnacentral:rRNA from 1 species